rnacentral:rRNA from 1 species
GACGGAGGAUGCAAGCGUUAUCCGGAAUGAUUGGGCGUAAAGCGUCCGCAGGUGGCAGUUCAAGUCUGCUGUCAAAGACCGGGGCUUAACUUCGGAAAGGCAGUGGAAACUGAACAGCUAGAGUAUGGUAGGGGCAGAGGGAAUUCCUGGUGUAGCGGUGAAAUGCGUAGAUAUCAGGAAGAACAUCGGUGGCGAAGGCGCUCCGCUGGACCAUAACUGACACUCAGGGACGAAAGCUAGGGGAGCGAAUGGG